rnacentral:rRNA from 1 species
CCUACGGGUGGCUGCAGUGGGGAAUAUUGGACAAUGGGCGCAAGCCUGAUCCAGCCAUGCCGCGUGAGUGAUGAAGGCCCUAGGGUUGUAAAGCUCUUUCACCGGUGAAGAUAAUGACGGUAACCGGAGAAGAAGCCCCGGCUAACUUCGUGCCAGCAGCCGCGGUAAUACGAAGGGGGCUAGCGUUGUUCGGAUUUACUGGGCGUAAAGCGCACGUAGGCGGACUUUUAAGUCAGGGGUGAAAUCCCGGGGCUCAACCCCGGAACUGCCUGUGAUACUGGAAGUCUUGAGUAUGGUAGAGGUGAGUGGAAUGCCGAGUGUAGAGGUGAAAUUCGUAGAUAUUCGGAGGAACACCAGUGGCGAAGGCGGCUCACUGGACCAUUACUGACGCUGAGGUGCGAAAGCGUGGGGAGCAAACAGGAUUAGAUACCCCGGUAGUC